rnacentral:tRNA from 1 species
CCCCUGACGGUCCAGUGGUUAAGACUCUGCACUUCCACUGCAGGGAGCACAAGUUCAAUCCCUAAUCAGGGGA